AACAAUAGUUAUGCCAUUUUUGCAAGGCUACGUAUAUCCAGUUGAAGACUUACAACCUUUGCAGGAUUUACUAAAAGAGUGGAAUUUUGAAUAUACUUAUCAAACAUUUAUUGAUAAUAUUAUAAUUCACUUAUAUUGCAAUUAUAAUUACAAUUAUUAAACAAGUUUGUUUACGUUAACAUAACUUAUUUUAGAUAAACUAAUUGAUUUGAACAUUUUAGCAAUUAUGAAUGUUAAAUUGUUAACCACAAAUUAACUUCUGAAAAAUUACCCACUUGGCAUUAAAAUAUUAUUUUCUAAUAACUUAGAAAAGUGGCAAAAAUCAAAAAAAUCAUCUCUUACAAUGUCACUGCUUUCAACUUUAGACAAAAAAAUUUCUCAAGAAAAAUUUUCUUCAGCCAUUCCCAUAAAUCUUAAGAGAAAUUUUAAAUGCGUGUUCAGCCAGAUUAAUGAUUAAUUACUAUUAUAAGACAAAUCACAAAUUUAACGACAAUAUAAGAACAUUGUUGGUUGAGACUAUCAUUAAUUAUACCAUAACUAAGAAAAUAUCUACGUCUAUAGGCCUAGCUAAUAGUAUUUCUGAUCAAAUUGCUGAUAUAUUUCCAACAAAAGUAAAAGAUACAUAUUUUUUUAAAUAUGGUUCAAACAAAAAUCCAAAUGGGGUAAGCUAUAUGCUAAAUAUUAUAAUUCUAUGCAAACUUUGAAAACCAAUGGUCUUUAGUCUAAUACCCUCUAGCACUCAUACAAAACCACUGCCAACAAAAUUUCCAUUUUGAACCAGAAAAUGAUGUACAGUAUAUUAUUGAACAAAUCAAACACAAUAAUAAUUAUUCUUUCCCUGACUGGAAAGUAAUAAGUAUUCAAACUUCAACAUCUACUAAUGAUAUACUUAUCUAACAACUGGAGCAAUUAUAAAUUACCUUUAGGAUACAGACUGGUUGAUAUAGAUUUUAACACAAUGUGUUUAACAUGCACAAUGCUUAAAUCUAAUUUCUACAUUUGAAGAAAAAUCAGGAAAAAUGAUAAACUAUUGGAUGAAAAAAUAAAGGACACUUCAAACUGACGGUUAUUUGAAAGUUUAAACAAGUAAACUGCAAAUAUAAUUCAAAGUAAAAACAAUUUAAUUUUUAUAGAAAAUGCAAAGCUAAUACUGACUAUAGAAUAAUGAUUUAGGACUUUAGUACUAAAUAUUAAUAUAAUUAAUAUGCAUUUUUAAC